rnacentral:rRNA from 1 species
CCUACGGGUGGCAGCAGUGGGGAAUAUUGGGCAAUGGAGGAAACUCUGACCCAGCAAUGCCGCGUGAAUGAAGAAGGUCUUCGGAUUGUAAAGUUCUUUUGUCAGGGCAGAAUAAAAUGACGGUACCUGAAGAAUCAGCUCCGACUAACUACGUGCCAGCCGCCGCGGUAAUACGUGAGGAGCCAGUGGUGUUCGGCAUGCCUGGGCGGAAAGGGUGCGUCGGGGGGUAUACAAGUUCGAAGGUGAAUACCCAGGGCUUAACCCGGGUGCUGCAUCUAAAAUUGUAAGACUUGAGUGAAGGAGAGGUAAGUGGAAUUCCUGGUGUAGCGGUGGAAUGCGUAGAGAUUAGGAGGAACACCAGAGGCGAAGGCGGCUAACUGGACUGCAACUGACGCUGAGGCACGAAAGUGUGGGGAGCAAACAGGAUUAGAUACCCGUGUAGUC